GAUGAAGAACGUAGCGAAAUGCGAUACGUAAUGUGAAUUGCAGAAUUCAGUGAAUCAUCGAAUCUUUGAACGCACAUUGCGCCCUUUGGUAUUCCAAAGGGCAUGCCUGUUCGAGCGUCAUUUGUACCCUCAAGCUUUGCUUGGUGUUGGGCGUCUUGUCUCCAGUUCGCUGGAGACUCGCCUUAAAGUAAUUGGCAGCCGGCCUACUGGUUUCGGAGCGCAGCACAAGUCGCGCUCUCUUCCAGCCAAGGUCAGCAUCCACAAAGCCUUUUUUCAACUUUUGACCUCGGAUCAGGUAGGGAUACCCGCUGAACUUAAGCAUAUCAAUAAGCGGAGGA
rnacentral:misc_RNA from 1 species